rnacentral:lncRNA from 1 species
GUAGCAGCUGGACAGAACUAACAUCACUCUGAAAUGAGAGAGGAGAUGCAUAUUGACCAACGGGUAAGCCCUGAAAGCGUUUUAUCUGUGUGAACUGGACGUUUCCCGAAGGAAGUUACUGCACCAAAGAAUCCCUAGAGGCUCCCACCGUGGAAAGGGCGUUUGUUGGGGCAACAGAGAAUCACUGUAGCGGGACGGGGAACGACGCAGCCUGAACAUCACUGCUAUUCUCCGAGAAACACUUCCAAUGUAAGUGAAGCAUUUCGCUAGAGAGACGCAGUCAAAAUAUUCAAAUAUGUAGGAAGGGGGAAUUGUUGUGGCCGCUGAGCAUUAAAAUUCAUCAUGUGUGAAAAAAGCAGAAACACUGAGAGCACAAUUGAUCAAAACCUUCCGAGUCUGGAAAGAUAAAUGAAAUGUGAGCAAAGUGGAAGGAAAGCCGGGAAAAUCGGAGAAGACUACCGCAGGGAGUAGAGUCAGGGAAUACCAUUCAGCCAGAAGGGAGGACAUCAGCG